rnacentral:lncRNA from 1 species
AGGCUAAAGAAAAAAUAUAAAAACAAGCUAGCCAUCAGAUCUUUACGAUUCUAAACCAGAAUAUUCUGGCAUGCUGAGGAGUAGUCUCUACAUUUACCUACAGGAACUAAAAAGCACACAGAAGGAGACCUUGUAAAUUGCCGUCCAUUCCAGGAGUGAUCCCAGGCCUUCCUUUUGGCACCAGACACAUAUUUACUUGUUCAAGU